UACGGCCACAUCACUUUCAAGCAUCGGUUCCCGUACGAUCACAGAAGCUAAGCAAAGUCGAGCCUGGUCAGUGUCUACUUGGGUGACCGCGUGGGAAUAUC